rnacentral:rRNA from 1 species
UACAGAGGGUGCGAGCGUUAAUCGGAAUUACUGGGCGUAAAGGGCGCGUAGGCGGCACGGCAAGUCGGGAGUGAAAGCCCGGGGCUCAACCCCGGAGGGUCUUCCGAAACUGCCGAGCUAGAGUGCGGAAGAGGCAACCGGAAUUCCCAGUGUAGCGGUGAAAUGCGUAGAUAUUGGGAAGAACACCAGAGGCGAAGGCGGGUUGCUGGGCCGACACUGACGCUGAGGCGCGAAAGCCAGGGGAGCAAACGGG